UAAUCCUGAGUAAUUUAGAUUUAGUAAUAUUACGUUCAUUUAUUUUUAUUAUCUGCAUUUGAAUGUUUUCUUAAUUUGGUUUAAAAUGUGAAAAAGUAAUAAAGUUGCCUUAGCUUGUGUUAGUUUAGCGCCAUUACCUAAAGGAUCCACUAGGGGCACUCGCGUGUUCUUUUCCUACUCAGUACAAGCGAGUGAACGGAGGCGCGUCGAUCCUGUUUCCUGUGGUUGUUUUCUCCUUCUGUCUCCCGUCUUUAAGUGUCUGCAGGUUGGACCCGGUUCGUUGGGUCCAGAUCCAGGUGGAAACGUCAGCAGCCAAACGGCGACCUGACAUUUGUCCGUCAGUCUGGAAACCUGCAGAAUCCGUCAGCAGCAGCAUCAAGGCAGCUGGACCCUGAAGAUGAUCGAUGCGGUUAAUGGAUGACCAGACGCUGCUCCGCCGGUCAGAUUUUUACAGUCGGGUGCAGCGCUGCGUCCUCACAGCUGGACGUCUUACUAACACAGAGUUAGCUGCUGCUAGUUCUGACAGCAAGACUGGAGACAGAUUCCUUUAAAGUGUAACUCACCUCAAACCAACUUGUGUAGCUGACUGAUGUCUGGACAGAUUAAGGUUAUUUCUUUGUUUCUGUAAAUUUGCAAACUUCUGCAUUAUUUUUGCUGAUCGCCGUUUCUGAGCCUGGCAGUUCAAUAUGUCGUUCCCACAAAUGUGAACCAGAAGUGAGUCGCGCCACUGAUCCGCCAUCUUGGUAGGCAAGUGCAGCGCAGACUGUAGCUGAACCAUCAUGGCUUCUAGACCAACAAAAAGAAAAUAUCUGGAGAGCUUGACCUGAAAUCUAUGGACACGUACAACCAGGGUUUAAACGGAUUGGAAAGGACGUAAGAAAACUUUAAUCAUUAUGCCAUUAUCAAUAUAAUGAUUUUAAAACAGCAGUAUUAUCAGUAUUACAAUAAUUGAUCAUUCAGGAUGCAGCAUGGCUGCAGAACGUCGUCACAAGUUUCCAACAACGCAGAAAAAAAAUCUCUAAGUUCAGUUUGACAUCAGAAUCCUGGAGAAUUUUCCUUCUGUUUCAGAUUCAGAUCAAUAAAACAAGAUUUGAUUAUUUUACUCAAAUGUCUGAACUUCUGAAGCAGCUGCCACACUGUAAAUAUUUCACUGAUUUAAAGCCGUUUAGGUCGUGUUGUUGACAUGAAUGAUUUAUGACAUCAUAAGCCUAGCAGUGAGUUGGAUCUGCAUGUUUCUGCAGGAGGGAAGCAGAAAACGGAGGAAGUCCUGAUCCCUCAGAAACAUUUAAAUCCCUGGAACGUCUGGCAGGUUAAACGCUCACAGGAGCCUGCAGAUACAAACACACUGAAACAUUUAUAUUUUCCCUGACAGAGACGUUCCUCUUCGCCGCCCGGUGGCGUUUUACUGAACUCUCUGUGAAGGAGCAGCAACAGACCGCUGACUUUAGAAAACGGCUCCUUCAGCACCGUCUCCUCCGGUAGGGAAUCCAUUCUGCUUCAGAAACCACAGAAAGAUUUUCACUUCUUCUGCCAACCUGAAGCUGCUGCAGACGAAACUUUAACGUUUCAGGGCGGAUCAGCAGGCGGGAGAAACUGAUUAAAAUGAUUUCAGUUC